UACGUAGGGCGCAAGCGUUGUCCGGAAUUAUUGGGCGUAAAGAGCUACGUAGGCGGUUUGUCGCGUCGUGCUGUGAAAACCUAAGGCUCAACCUUGGGCUUGCAGUGGGUACGGGCAGACUAGAGUGCGGUAGGGGUGACUGGAAUUCCGUGGUGAUAGCGGUGGAAUGGCGUAGAUAUCUGGAGGAAUACCGGUGGCGAAGGCGGCAUCCUGGACCGACAAUUGACGGCUGAACGGCGGAAAAG
rnacentral:rRNA from 1 species